rnacentral:lncRNA from 1 species
CCGGCCACUCCUUCUUGAGCCCUGACUGAAAAAUGCACUGUUGUGCUGGUGCCUUAAGUGCAUUUGGGGUCGGCCUUUUGGCCCAUCUCUCAUGGGAAUGAGGAUUCUGUGGUCAAAUACAUUGGGCAGAUGCUGCCUACUUCAUCCCCCUUACUGAGAGUCGAGGAGCAGCCCAUCAGCACAUUAAAGGCUCUGGUAAGUCCUACAGUAAAGAAAUUGGUUUAACAAUGUUUUCCAGUGUGAUCUGACCACAG